UGCGGAGGGAUCAUUACCGAGUUUACAACUCCCAAACCCAAUGUGAACGUUACCAAACUGUUGCCUCGGCGGGGUCACGCCCCGGGUGCGUCGCAGCCCCGGAACCAGGCGCCCGCCGGAGGAACCAACCAAACUCUUUCUGUAGUCCCCUCGCGGACGUAUUUCUUACAGCUCUGAGCAAAAAUUCAAAAUGAAUCAAAACUUUCAACAACGGAUCUCUUGGUUCUGGCAUCGAUGAAGAACGCAGCGAAAUGCGAUAAGUAAUGUGAAUUGCAGAAUUCAGUGAAUCAUCGAAUCUUUGAACGCACAUUGCGCCCGCCAGUAUUCUGGCGGGCAUGCCUGUCCGAGCGUCAUUUCAACCCUCGAACCCCUCCGGGGGAUCGGCGUUGGGGAUCGGGACCCCUCACACGGGUGCCGGCCCCUAAAUACAGUGGCGGUCUCGCCGCAGCCUCUCCUGCGCAGUAGUUUGCACAACUCGCACCGGGAGCGCGGCGCGCCCACGUCCGUAAAACACCCAACUUUCUGAAAUGUUGACCUCGGAUCAGGUAGGAAUACCCGCUGAACUUAAGCAUAUC
rnacentral:rRNA from 1 species